rnacentral:rRNA from 1 species
GACGAACGCUGGCGGCGCGCCUAACACAUGCAAGUCGAACGAGCGAGCGAGAGCUUGCUUUCUUGAGCGAGUGGCGAACGGGUGAGUAACGCGUGAGGAACCUGCCUCAAAGAGGGGGACAACAGUUGGAAACGACUGCUAAUACCGCAUAAGCCCACGACCCGGCAUCGGGUUGAGGGAAAAGGAGCAAUCCGCUUUGAGAUGGCCUCGCGUCCGAUUAGCUAGUUGGUGAGGUAACGGCCCACCAAGGCGACGAUCGGUAGCCGGACUGAGAGGUUGAACGGCCACAUUGGGACUGAGACACGGCCCAGACUCCUACGGGAGGCAGCAGUGGGGAAUAUUGCACAAUGGGGGAAACCCUGAUGCAGCGACGCCGCGUGGAGGAAGAAGGUCUUCGGAUUGUAAACUCCUGUUGUUGAGGAAGAUAAUGACGGUACUCAACAAGGAAGUGAUGGCUAACUACGUG